CCUACGGGUGGCUGCAGUGGGGAAUAUUGGGCAAUGGGCGCAAGCCUGACCCAGCAACGCCGCGUGAAGGAAGAAGGCUUCCGGGUUGUAAACUUCUUUUGUCAGGGAAGAGUAGAAGACGGUACCUGACGAAUAAGCCACGGCUAACUACGUGCCAGCAGCCGCGGUAAUACGUGGGUGGCAAGCGUUGUUCGGAAUUACUGGGUGUAAAGGAUGUGUAGGCGGGUUGACAAGUGAGAUGUGAAAUCCUGCGGUGUAACCGCAGAACAGCAUUUGAAACUGUUUAUCUUGAGUACUGGAGAGGCAAGCGGAAUGCCUAGUGUAGCGGUGAAAUGCGUAGAUAUUAGGAAGAACACCAGUGGCGAAGGCGGUCUACUGGACAGGAACUGACGGUGAGGCACGAAAGCGUGGGGAGCAAACAGGAUUAGAUACCCUGGUAGUC
rnacentral:rRNA from 1 species